GCCUAGGGCCAUACUACCCGGAACACACCAGAUCCCGUCUGAUCCCAGAAGCUAAGCAGGGUCGGGCCUGGUUAGUACUUGGAUGGAAGACCGCUUGGGAAUACCGGGUGCCCUAGGCU